GGCACUCAUACAGGAAAUGACAUCAACGGGUCAAAACUAAAAAUAUGUCGCAGGGCGGACGGUGAUCGUGGGACGCCCUGAAACUGCUCUGUACUGGAGGCUUCGAGACAGGUUUCUAUAGUUUUGGGAGGUGGAUGCUGAGGACCUGAGCUGAGUGAGCGCUUCUCAACCAUCACUUUCAUCCUCUGCAAGUUCAACGCAGACGACACACUUUCUCUGCGACGCCGUGGGCCAGUUGUCUCUUUGAAGUCGUGUAACCAGGGAGUUAACAAGUUAAUAUCGGAGGACAGUCUUUAAUGCAGGUCUUCGGGGCUGUGUUUAUGGACUGGUGAUUAGAGGGCAUAUAGACUAGAUGAUGGGCAAAAAGGGGCUCAAGAACGCAGUUCUUCCGUGUCCGUCUGCCAUGAGGCAGGCGUUCCAGUUUGGCUGCUGAAAGCUGGCCUCGCUGAACCGCGGGGUCAGCGCACCUCCAGCGCAACUCCAGCUUGUGCUUCAUCCUCUACCGCACCGGGGGCACCUGGCACCCCUCCCUACCAUGGCAGGCCAGAUCAAUGGUAAGAUCCAUUCGAGCAGAAUGACCGGAGGUCGGCAUCAAAGGCCCCCUGCUUGUCUCGCUGCCACCUGGAGCUCAGCGAGGGUCAUGGGCCGCCUGGGCCACCACUGCCUCCUCUUCCCUUCAGCUGGCUGGGUAUGCUGACUGGGACCCGGGCAGGGUAUGAGCUGGCUCUGCCCUGGCCCAGCAGCCCACAUGGGGAGAGGGCCAGAGGUCAAGCCCAUCAGAGCACUUUGCUUCAUCUGAUGAGAGGAUCUGGUCUGGUUUUAAUGAGGCAACACUGAUUCCACAUCUCUUUACGCAUGUGAGCAGACCUAAUGUGUGGAUUGUACUAGACGUAAUGUUGUGAUUUUUGCUUCCAGUCACUGGUUGCAGAGGAAGCGUCUUAGCUGUUUAUAGGUAUAUUUUAAUACCAAAAGUAAAAUCUUAAAAUCUUGUGUCAAAUGCAUGUUCCAUAUUCACAUUGAUUUCACUUUAAAGGGGUCUCUUAAGUUGUGUAAAAUGCAGUAAUUCAUCAAAUGAAAUGGAUAAUUCACUAAAAAAUUAAAAUUCUGUUAUUAUUAUUAUGAGUUUAUUUCUUCUGCUGAACACAAAAGAAGAUUUUUUUUUUGAUGUCAUAAAAGGCUAUGGCUUUUUGGAACAUUCUUUUGAACAACAUUCUUCAAAAUACCUUCAUUUUUUUUUUUUUUUUUUUCAGCCUAGGAAAGAAAGUCUUACAGUUUUGGAACCUGAUGGGAGAAUUGUCAUUUUUGGGUGAACUAUCCCUUUAAUUCAAAUGACUAUAAUUCUGUGAGGUUUUUUUUUUUAAAUGAUUAAUUUCAGCAGACAGUAGAUAGCCAAUUAUUGUAGAACAUAUAUUUAUUCAUACAACGUUUCCCAUAUGAACACUGUGGCUCCCUUCAGCAAAAUGUUGGUCAUAUGGUGAAAGAACAGGCAAUUAUUUUCAUGCAGCUGUCAAUACUCUGAACAGGCUAAUACAGUCUAAUUAAAUGUCAUUUCUUGGGCCACUAAUGAAAAUGAACAACUCAGAGGGGUUUUUAAUAUCGCUGUGAAGCGCUUCAACUGCCGGAGCCCUGCAGUCGACGACUUGAUCCUUCUAUGUCCCUUACUUGUUUGAUGAGGGAUGAAAGGGGACGCAAUGAGAGACACAGAGAGAAAGAGAGAGAAAAAGGCAAGUUUGGCAAGUGGAGGAGUGAAGGGGGAGACAGAUGGCGUGAAGUCUGCAUCUCUUUGGCGUUGGGCUCAUGGCGCUAAAAUCCUCCCUCUCACACAUUCCAACAAAUCCAACCAGGAGGCUCAGGAGUAUGUUCCACUGCUCUCGAAAUGAAGCAUCUGACCAGGAUAGAGCCACGCGCACACACACUUUCUCACUGUCUCUCUCCCUCUUUCACACACGCGCACACAUACAUUCACACACUGUCAGUCACCCGUAACCUAUCCAGAAGUUUACAUUUUUAUUAGUAUGUCACCCGUUCCGGAGUUUAUUGGCUUGUUAAAAUAGGAUGCUUUGGGAGUUGGGGAAGAGAGAACAUGGGGCCAUGACUGGAAAUAUUGCAGUGGAGAAAAGGAGACCAAGUGCCAUUCAAGUGUAAAAUCUCAUUGAGUAAACAUGGGGCCAAGGCAUGGAAACAGAGUGCGUACAAUCCAUUCGCGGCAGAAGAAAUGAGCUUUGCAGUUAGUCAUGCUAGCCACCACAUUAGCCUGUGCUCCUGAUAAGUUUCCUGCCAGUCAGGCCUGCCAGUUUGGACCGAAGUUGUACGUCUUUUUAAUUGGCGCCUCUGAAAUAAAAGUAUAUAAAGUUGAUCUGCUUGGCAUGUACAGUAAAAUCUAUGCGUCCCGUGUGAUCUCUGUCAACCGAGCUUCUGUUCUGUGCCUCAAUGUGGUUUUAUGAAGCAGCGAAGCUUUAUUUUAACCUAUCGCAAUAUUUUAUUUGUCAUUUAGCUGAAAUGUACCGCUAAUAGCUGUUGACAUAUAAAACGACCAUGUGUUCCUCCUGUCAGCCAGAUGCAAAAGGCACAGAUGGGCUUCUUUUUUUCCAAAUGGAGCUCUUGAUAGCAGACAAUUAAUGUGCCUUUGAUUGCGCUCUACAGUACUCUCCCAUUGAUUCUGGAAAAUGUAUUCAUUGAAGGCAUAUGAUCAGCCACGGAUGAAUCUUGUCAGAUGUGCCAAAUCACAAAUGAAACGCUUUAGUGCCUCUCCCUCCAACCUCCAGGGCUAAGAGCUCUUGCAUGACACUCACGCACACACACGCGCACACCACUCUUUUCCUCUCUCGCUGCUUCUCUAUCUCUCUCGCUCACGCUCUAGAUGGAUGGCUGAGUUCUGCCUUCUGUUUGCGCUGCCAUACUAAUGAAUGAGUCAGCUGGGAAUAUGUAAUACUGUGAAAAGGUCACCGGAGGCAUGUGUAUCACAUUACUGUUAAUGAUAAUAAAAAGA